CUUCCAGUUGUCACUGAGAAGCAACGAAUGACUCGGUCAAGUCGGAGGCAAUGAGACCCAAUACGAGAUUGUUUCUCCACACUGUGCAAAAGAAUGAGAUGCUAAUGAUGACUCCAAAUUCCCUCGGCUGUACUGCUGUUAUGAAGUCCUUGAUUAAACACACCACUCUGAUAAAGGUUGAUCCUAAGUUGAGUGCUGGUAUAGUGACAAAAGAAUGCCACAAACUGGAAGCACUUGGAAAGAAGCAGGAGGAAGAAAAUGGAGAAGAAACAGGAGGGACUUAAAAGGAAGAGGGAUGAGAGGUUGAGUGGCUGAGGCCAAAGUAAAACAACAGAGAGGAAGGAAAGAAGCAAAAAAUGGCUCAGAUUGAUAAGAACAAUGAUGAGCGUCUGGCACAGGUAAAGGCCAAGAAGGUGGCCAGAAAACAUCAGGAGCUGGAACAGAAGAAAUUGGAAGAAGAGCUUAAAAGGAAG